CCAGCAGCCGCGGUAAUUCCAGCUCCAAUAGCGUAUAUUAAAGUUGUUGCAGUUAAAAAGCUCGUAGUUGGAUCUCUGGAUUGGAGUAACGGUCGGCCGCAAGGCGUGUACUGUUAAGCCGGUUCAUCUUCUCGGAGACUGUAUGCUCUUAACUGAGUGUGCAUGGAUUCGGGACCUUUACUUUGAAAAAAUUAGAGUGUUCAAAGCAGGCCACCGCUUGGAUACAUUAGCAUGGAAUAAUGGAAUAGGAUUUUGGUCCUAUUUUGUUGGUUUCUAGGACUGAAAUAAUGAUUAAUAGGAACGGUUGUGGUCAUUUGUAUUUCGGAGUCAGAGGUGAAAUUCUA
rnacentral:rRNA from 1 species